rnacentral:misc_RNA from 1 species
UCAGUAAACGAGGCCGCGUGCGCUACGCCCGCCCGCCCCGCUCCUUACCUUGCCUACUGCACCUAUUUGUUGCUUCCUGGCGGCGGACUGCCCUGCCGCCAGGGACAUUUAUACAAGCCCUGUAUAGAAGUAUUGAAACUCUGAAGAAAACACGAAUCGUA